CCUACGGGUGGCAGCAGUGAGGAAUAUUGGUCAAUGGACGAGAGUCUGAACCAGCCAAGUAGCGUGAAGGAUGACUGCCCUAUGGGUUGUAAACUUCUUUUAUAUGGGAAUAAAACGUUCCACGUGUGGGAUUUUGUAUGUACCAUAUGAAUAAGGAUCGGCUAACUCCGUGCCAGCAGCCGCGGUAAUACGUAGGGGGCGAGCGUUAUCCGGAUUUAUUGGGCGUAAAGCGUGCGUAGGCGGUUUGUUAAGUCCAGAAUUAAAGCCCGAGGCUUAACCUCGGUUCGUUCUGGAAACUGGCAGACUAGAGUAUGGUAGAGGCAAAUGGAAUUCCUAGUGUAGCGGUGAAAUGCGUAGAUAUUAGGAGGAACACCAGUGGCGAAGGCGAUUUGCUGGGCCAUCACUGACGCUGAGGUACGAAAGCGUGGGGAGCAAAUAGGAUUAGAUACCCCUGUAGUC
rnacentral:rRNA from 1 species